rnacentral:rRNA from 1 species
AGAAUCAACGCUGGCGGCGUGCCUAACACAUGCAAGUCGAACGAGAAAGUGGAGCAAUCCAUGAGUAAAGUGGCGCACGGGUGAGUAACACGUGACUAACCUACCCUUGAGUGGGGGAUAACCUAGGGAAACCUGGGCUAAUACCGCAUAAUACCUUCGGGUCAAAGGAGCAAUUCGCUUAAGGAGGGGGUCGCGGCCGAUUAGUUAGUUGGCGGGGUAAUGGCCCACCAAGACGAUGAUCGGUAUCCGGCCUGAGAGGGCGCACGGACACACUGGAACUGAAACACGGUCCAGACUCCUACGGGAGGCAGCAGUGGGGAAUUUUGCGCAAUGGGGGAAACCCUGACGCAGCAACGCCGCGUGGAGGAUGAAGUCCCUUGGACGUAAACUCCUUUCGAUCGGGACGAUAAUGACGGUACCGGAAGAAGAAGCCCCGGCUAACUUCGUGCCAGCAGCCGC